rnacentral:rRNA from 1 species
UACGUAGGGUGCGAGCGUUGUCCGGAAUUAUUGGGCGUAAAGAGCUUGUAGGCGGUUUGUCGCGUCUGCCGUGAAAAUCCGGGGCUCAACCCCGGACUUGCGGUGGGUACGGGCAGACUAGAGUGUGGUAGGGGAGACUGGAAUUCCUGGUGUAGCGGUGAAAUGCGCAGAUAUCAGGAGGAACACCGAUGGCGAAGGCAGAUCUCUGGGCCGUAACUGACGCUGAGGAGCGAAAGCAUGGGGAGCGAACAGG